rnacentral:rRNA from 1 species
UAGGGAAUCUUCGGCAAUGGACGAAAGUCUGACCGAGCAACGCCGCGUGAGUGAAGAAGGUUUUCGGAUCGUAAAACUCUGUUGUUAGAGAAGAACAAGGACGUUAGUAACUGAACGUCCCCUGACGGUAUCUAACCAGAAAGCCACGGCUAACUACGUGCCAGCAGCCGCGGUAAUACGUAGGUGGCAAGCGUUGUCCGGAUUUAUUGGGCGUAAAGCGAGCGCAGGCGGUUUCUUAAGUCUGAUGUGAAAGCCCCCGGCUCAACCGGGGAGGGUCAUUGGAAACUGGGAGACUUGAGUGCAGAAGAGGAGAGUGGAAUUCCAUGUGUAGCGAUGAAAUGCGUAGAUAUAUGGAGGAACACCAGUGGCGAAGGCGGCCCCCUGGACAAAGACUGACGCUCAGGUGCGAAAGCGUGGGGAGCAAACAGG